CCUGGUUACACGCUCACCUUGAGCUUGUGCGCACACCUGGUUCUCGGAUCUGCACAAAGACCUUGAAGACACUUUGAUAAAAGUGCAAUUUCGUCCAACCAAUACUGAGCAUGUACCCUUCCAAUAAGUGUGCAUUCAAAGAAAGCACCAGCACAAUGAAGGAACUAUCCCAUUAUAUUGGAAGACAGUGAAUGAAACUCCUUCAUUCAAGUUAUGGAAGAAACAGCAGAAAACUGCAGGUCAAUCACAUUUUAAAGGGGAUAACAUUUGAGGAGCUGCCCGGAUGGAUGCAGCUCCAACAACACUCAAGAAGUUUGACACCAUCCUGGACAAAGCAGCCUCCUGACUGGCACCGCAUCCACAAGCAUCUACUCCCUCCACCACCAAUGCUCAGUAGCAGCAACAUGAGCCAUCGACAAGAAUGGACUACUGAAGUUCACCAAAGAUCCUCCGACAGCACCUUCUUUCAUCAAGGGGGUCAAGGGUAGCAAAUACCUGGGAACACCAUCACCUGCAAGUUACUCUCAAAGCCACUCACCAUCCUGACUUCAAAAUAUAUCGCCAGCCCUUCACCGUCAGUGGGUCAAAAUCCUGGAAGUCCCUCCCUAAGGGCAUUGUGGGUCAACUUAGAGCAAAUGGACUGCAGCAGUUCAAGAAGGCAGCUCACCAUCACCUUCUCAAGGGCAACUAGGAAUCGGCAAUAAAUGUUGGCUAACCUGCAAUGUCCAUCUCCCAUAAGUAAUAAAUAAAUUAGCUAACUGGCCUGUAAUUUUCUGCUUUCUGUCUCCCUCCCUUUUUAAAUAAAGAAUUUAUAUUUGCUAUCUUUUAAUUUAAUGGGACUGCCCCCAAAUCAAGGCCGUUUUGGAAAAUGACAACCAAUGUGUCAACUAUCUCACUGGCUAUUUCUUUAAAGACUCAAUAAGUCAUCAAGAUCCAAGCAUUUGUCAGUCUGCAGUUCUAACAAUUUAGUCAGUGUCCUUUCUCUGGUGAUUGUGAGUUUCUUGAAUUCCUCCCUUUUAGCCAUUUACCAAUUUACAGCUGCUCCUUAAGUGUUACUUGUUUCUUCUGUAGAGAAGAUCAAUGAAAACUACCUUUUUAAUUCAUCUGAUGCUCCAGGCUCACUUUCUAUAUGACAAAUGCUCAUUUUUUUAAAAAAUUACUGAAAUUUGUAGUAUCUGCUUUUAAAUUUUGGCUAACA